rnacentral:tRNA from 1 species
GCCGAAGUGGCGAAAUUGGUAAACGUGCACGUCUCAGAAGCGUGUGCCGAAAGGCUUGAGGGUUCGAGUCCCUCCUUUGGCA